AAAAGGAGGAAGACGAGCAGCUGCAGCGACGUCCAGAAAGGCAAGAAAGCGCAACGAACAAUUACUUCGACUCUCAGUCUCUCUUGCAGGUUGUGGAAUGAUUUCGAGAGCUUGAAUAAAUAACAAUAGGAGGAUGGCAAUGAUGAGGAAAACAGAGAGAGCACUGCAGAGGAGAGGGGAAAAAAAAGGAGCACCAUCUCUUUCUUUUUUUCUUUCAUAGGAUAUGGGAUAAAUCCAGCAGCAGUAUCACUAGAAAUGCAAUUGAAAAUGAGAAACAAGAUAAUGGUAACCAUACCUUUGGAGAUUGGUUCUCACCUGCUUCAACAGGAUUGUUGGACAAUGAGAGAAGCUCUACAAUCUUGUGAAAUCACACAUGUUUAUAGAGAGGCAUAAGGUGCUGCAGAUUAAAUGGUGACAUGUAUGGCUAAUCAUAUGGGACCUACAUUAUGAACGACAUUGUCAGAUAUUCCUUCUGAAUUUUUCAAUAUUUUAUUUACUGAUUUCUAUGGAAGUUUUUACUCUAGAUUGGUUUAAUAAAUUUACUUGGUCAAUAUCUAUAUUUUGGACAUUAUGGUAUGCCUUGAAAGUUGUUAGUAUGCAUUAAGGUUGACAGUGGGGCUUCUAUCGAAGUUCAACUUUGGAAUACAGAGUUAGGAAUGUUUAUCUGAACUGCUGGUGGUCUUUACUAAGUCACUAUUCCGGUGGUACUCAUUGUCGUAGGGAAAAAAGUCCUAGUAAUUCAACCGUUACCCAGAAAAAAAAAAGUUCUCUCUUAUGUUUCACUCUCAAGCACCAGCUAACUCUACAAGGACUCUGCCAAUAGAGUAGUUACCUCAUAAUUUAAAGCCCGUAAAGAUUCUUUUAGUGGAAAGGCUUUAAAUGAUUCGAACCAUGGGACAGACAUGCUUGAGCAUGUAGGAGCUUUCCACAGAGAGAGAGUUUGCUUAAGAAGAAAAUCUUGAGAAUGAAGUGGCGACAAAGAGAUCAGUUUCCAGAUUCAUUUCAUUUUUCUGGGGUUGCAAUUAAAAUAGGGUUAUGCUGGGGAUAUGUUUGUUUUUGUAAUGCGUUUAAUGAUUCUUAUGAUUGUGCUUCUUUUGUUUGCCCUCUUAUUCUUCCUUUCUUUUACUUUUAAUUCUGAAAUGGGUACUUAGAACAGGUUGGCCCCGGGAUCCUUGCACUUGAGCUUAGUUUUUGUAUGUAGGGGCACUAUUGUACUACUUUGGUUCUUUUUGACUAGCUUCUUGAGUUCUGUAAUCAAAGUUACAGGUUGGUAUUUUGGCUGUUGAGCGCAAGUUAUACUUCAAGAGGAAUAAAACUAUCUGUUGAGUGCAACUUAUACUUCAAGAGAAAUAAAACUAUCUUGGCGUCACCUGGAUAUGAGGAACAAAAGGCGAAAUUGUUGCUGUGUAGAACACAAAUGACGUUGUUGUGUGGGUUCAUCUGGAGUAUUGGCAUGGGACACAUAUGGUGUCUUGGGAGGUAUGUAAUGUGCAUUAGAGUUGUUUUCUUGCAUGUCCAUAGUUCUAGCAGACUUAUACUAGAUUGUGAUGUCAUAUGUAUCAUUCCCAUCAUAGCUAGGUUGCCCUAGUCAAAAAAAUUGGCCUUGCAUAUUGCUAUUAAGCUGGAAUUGUAGUGACUUGGUUCAAAAAAGUUGCCCUUGGAAGAAGAAGGUUUCACUUUAUCGCUAUAUCGCUAUAACUGAUGGUAUGUUCUUUACCAAAACAAAAAGAUGAUGCUUUAUAUGCAACUUCUAGAUAUGGUUCUUACAAUAUGAAAGAUGAUGCCUUUACUGUGGAUGAGAUCUACAUUUUGUAGCUGAUCUUGGCCAUUUAGAGAUAAGUUU